AAGUCGUAACAAGGUUUCUGUAGGUGAACCUGCGGAAGGAUUAUUAUAUUUAGUAGCCUAGCUACUUGUUUACACCCUUGUUUUUGCGUACUUAUUAUUUCCUUGGUGGGCUUGCUCGCUGGUUGGACAAAACUAUAACUUUUUUUAAAUCUUCAAUUAGCGUCUGAAUUAUACAUAAUAAUUACAACUUUUAAUAAUGGAUCUCUUGGUUCUG
rnacentral:misc_RNA from 1 species